UCGCGAAAACUUCWCACUGGGGGCAACCCCGAUGAGGGAAUUCCUAGUGCUAGCGCAUUUGCGUUAGCUUUUCUUUAGUGUAGACAGCUAAAGGAAUAAGGGCUGGGUAAGACGGGUGCCAGCCGCCGCGGUAAUACCCGCKGCYCKAAGUGGUGGUCGAUAUUAUUGAGUCUAAAACGUUCGUAGCCGGUUCGCUAAAUCCCUGGGUAAAUCG
rnacentral:rRNA from 1 species